UAAUACGUAGGGUGCGAGCGUUGUCCGGAAUUACUGGGCGUAAAGAGCUCGUAGGUGGUUUGUCACGUCGUCUGUGAAAUUCCGGGGCUCAACCCCGGGCGUGCAGGCGAUACGGGCAUAACUUGAGUGCUGUAGGGGAGACCGGAAUUCCUGGUGUAGCGGUGAAAUGCGCAGAUAUCAGGAGGAACACCGAUGGCGAAGGCAGGUCUCUGGGCAGUAACUGACGCUGAGGAGCGAAAGCAUGGGUAGCGAACAGGAUUAGAUACCCUGGUAGUCCAUGCCGUAAACGGUGGGCGCUAGGUGUAGGGGACUUCCACGUCUUCUGUGCCGUAGCUAACGCAUUAAGCGCCCCGCCUGGGGAGUACGGCCGCAAGGCUA
rnacentral:rRNA from 1 species